CCUACGGGUGGCAGCAGUCGAGAAUAUUUCACAAUGGGCGCAACCCUGAUGGUGCGACGCCGCGUGGAGGAAUGAAGGUCUUCGGAUUGUAAAUCCUUGUCAUGUGGGAGCAAAUUAUAAAGAUAGUACCCCAAGAGGAAGAGACGACUAACUGUGUGCCAGCAGCCGCGGUAAUACAGAGGGCCCAAGCGGUGAUCGGAAUCACUGGGCGUAAAGCGUGCGUAGGCGGUUUCGUAAGGCGUGUUUGAAAGGCGCGGGCUCAACCCGCGGACGGCACAUGAUACUGCGAGUCUCGAGUAAUGGAGUGGGAACCGGAAUUCUCGGUGUAGCGGUGAAAUGCGUAGAUAUCGGGAGGAACACUCGUGGCGAAGGCGGGUUCCUGGACGUUAACUGACGCUGAGGCGCGAAGGCCAGGGGAGCAAACGGGAUUAGAUACCCGAGUAGUC
rnacentral:rRNA from 1 species